GGACCCGCACAAGCGGUGGAUGAUGUGGUUUAAUUCGAUGCAACGCGAAAAACCUUACCUACCCUUGACAUGUCUGGAAUCCCGAAGAGAUUUGGGAGUGCUCGAAAGAGAACCAGAACACAGGUGCUGCAUGGCCGUCGUCAGCUCGUGUCGUGAGAUGUUGGGUUAAGUCCCGCAACGAGCGCAACCCUUAUCAUUAGUUGCUACGCAAGGGCACUCUAAUGAGACUGCCGGUGACAAACCGGAGGAAGGUGGGGAUGACGUCAGGUCAUCAUGGCCCUUAUGGGUAGGGCUACACACGUCAUACAAUGGCCGGUACAGAGGGCUGCCAACCCGCGAGGGGGAGCUAAUCUCAGAAAACCGGUCGUAGUCCGGAUCGCAGUCUGCAACUCGACUGCGUGAAGUCGGAAUCGCUAGUAAUCGCGGAUCAGCUUGCCGCGGUGAAUACGUUCCCGGGUCUU
rnacentral:rRNA from 1 species